CGGUGCUUGCACUGGUCAAUCUAGUGGCGAACGGGUGAGUAACACGUGGGUAACCUGCCCAUCAGAGGAGGAUAACAUCCGGAAACGGAUGCUAAAACCGCAUAGGUCUUCGAGCCGCAUGGCUUGAAGAGGAAAAGAGGCGCAAGCUUCUGCUGAUGGAUGGACCCGCGGUGCAUUAGCUAGUUGGUGAGGUAACGGCUCACCAAGGCAGUGAUGCAUAGCCGACCUGAGAGGGUGAUCGGCCACAUUGGGACUGAGACACGGCCCAAACUCCUACGGGAGGCAGCAGUAGGGAAUCUUCCGCAAUGGACGCAAGUCCGACGGAGCAACGCCGCGUGAGUGAAGAAGGUUUUCGGAUCGUAAAACUCUGUUGUUAGAGAAGAACAAGUGCUAGAGUAACUGUUAGCGCCUUGACGGUAUCUAACCAGAAAGCCACGGCUAACUACGUGCCAGCAGCCGCGGUAAUACGUAGGUGGCAAGCGUUGUCCGGAUUUAUUGGGCGUAAAGCGAGCGCAGGCGGUUCCUUAAGUCUGAUGUGAAAGCCCCCGGCUCAACCGGGGAGGGUCAUUGGAAACUGGGGAACUUGAGUGCAGAAGAGGAGAGUGGAAUUCCAUGUGUAGCGGUGAAAUGCGUAGAUAUAUGGAGGAACACCAGUGGCGAAGGCGACUCU
rnacentral:rRNA from 1 species